AUUUUAUGCGUGUGAAAAUUAUAAUAUCAGAAAAACAAUAACAAAGAAAUACAUGGAUUUUAUUUUGUUAACAUGCAUAGAUCUGAUAAAAAUCGAGCGGUAUCUUUUUCCUUUGUUCUUGCAACAAAUAUUGGUAUUCAUAUAACAAAUCGGCUGCAAACGAAAAAAAUAAUAAUAAUCAUAAAUAAAUUUAAUAUGACUUUUAUUAUAGAUAAUCUGUUGUAUUAUUUAACCCUUUUAUUCUCUUUCCUGCAAUUUUCUUCAGAUUUAUUUUUUUUCCUCACUAGGGCCUAAUGAUACCUCAUAUUUCAUUAAAGUCUAUACGCUACUGAGGACUUCGACGGAUAGCUUACUGCGCAUGCACUGUGACUACCCAACACUGAUCUGCGCGCUACUUAAAAGUAGUUUAAGCCAUGCUAUCGGACCGACGAGCUAGUCUUUACAGCAUUGAAGUGGAGGAAGGAUCUCUGCGUUCCAUUUAAUCAACUUCCAAAAUUGAAUAUACACACAAUCUGCCUCGAUCUUCGACAAAGAAUUAAGCCAAUAAAGAGUUACAUAAAU